CCUGAACGUCUUCUUCAAGUACUCCACUUUUUUUUCUCGCGGAGAAAAAGGUGGAAUACUUGAAGAAGAUUUUCAGGU
rnacentral:pre_miRNA from 1 species